rnacentral:rRNA from 1 species
CUACGGAGGGUGCAAGCGUUAAUCGGAAUUACUGGGCGUAAAGCGUACGUAGGCGGUUCGUUAAGUUAGAUGUGAAGGCCCCGGGCUUAACCUGGGAACUGCAUUUAAAACUGGCGAACUAGAGUUGAGUAGAGGGGAGUGGAAUUUCAGGUGUAGCGGUGAAGUGCGUAGAGAUCUGAAGGAACACCAGUGGCGAAGGCGACUCCCUGGACUCGAACUGACGCUGAGGUACGAAAGCGUGGGUAGCAAACGGGAUUAGAAACCCUAGUAGUCC